UGACCACUUCGCCGCAGGGCGGAGAGUUGUGGAAACGGACAGCCCGGUCAAAUGCCGA
rfam:Ruminococcus sp. CAG:579 genomic scaffold, scf168